rnacentral:tRNA from 1 species
GCGAAGCGAGCUCAAUUGGUUCGAGCAUUAGAUUGUGAAUCUAAAGGGUAUGGGUUCGAGUCCCAUUCUUCGCC